rnacentral:rRNA from 1 species
UACGUAGGGGGCAAGCGUUGUCCGGAUUUAUUGGGCGUAAAGAGCGUGUAGGCGGCUGGGUAGGUCCGUUGUGAAAACUCGAGGCUCAACCUCGAGACGCCGAUGGAAACCCUCCAGCUAGAGUCCGGAAGAGGAGACUGGAAUUCCUGGUGUAGCGGUGGAAUGCGCAGAUAUCAGGAGGAACACCGAUGGCGAAGGCAGGUCUCUGGGCCAUUACUGACACUGAGAAGCGAAAGCAUGGGGAGCGAACAGG